rnacentral:rRNA from 1 species
AAGUAGCUGCAGGAAGAGAAAGCAAAAGCGAUUGCCUUAGUAGCGGCGAGCGAAACGGCAGGAGGGCAAACCGAAGAGUUUACUCUUCGGGGUUGUAGGACUGCAAUGUGGACUCAAAGAUUAUAGAAGAAUGAUUUGGGAAGAUCAGCCAAAGAGAGUAAUAGCCUCGUAUUUAAAAUAGUCUUUGUACCUAGCAGUAUCCUGAGUACGGCGGGACACGUGAAAUCCCGUCGGAAUCUGGGAGGACCAUCUCCCAACCCUAAAUACUCCCUAGUGACCGAUAGUGAACCAGUACCGUGAGGGAAAGGUGAAAAGCACCCCGGGAGGGGAGUGAAAUAGAACCUGAAACCGUGUGCCUACAACAAGUUCGAGCCCGUUAAUGGGUGAGAGCGUGCCUUUUGUAGAAUGAACCGGCGAGUUACGAUAUGAUGCGAGGUUAAGUUGAAGAGACGGAGCCGUAGGGAAACCGAGUCUGAAUAGGGCGCCUUAGUAUCAUGUCGUAGACCCGAAACCAUGUGACCUACCCAUGAGCAGGUUGAAGG